rnacentral:piRNA from 1 species
UCUGAGCAUUUGGCAGAAGGCAU